UGACCAGGGCCACUGCAGGCAUGGUGCUAGAGCUGUACGUCUCUGACCGAGAGGGAAGCGAUGCCACGGGAGAUGGAACCAAGGAGAAACCAUUUAAAACAGGUCUAAAGUAUUGUACAAUGUUCAAGAACUGUCUUUUCUCUCCUCCCUACCCAAGGCUUUGAUGACAGUAGGGAAAGAACCAUUUCCUACCAUUUACGUAGAUUCACAAAAAGAAAAUGAGAGGUGGAAUGUUAUUUCUAAAUCACAGUUGAAGAACAUUAAAAAGAUGUGGCAUAGGGAACAAAUGAAGAGUGAAUCCCGGGAAAAGAAAGAGGCAGAAGAUAGUUUACGAAGAGAAAAGAACCUGGAAGAAGCAAAGAAGAUUACCAUUAAAAAUGAUCCAAGUCUCCCAGAGCCAAAAUGUGUGAAGAUUGGUGCGUUAGAAGGAUAUAGAGGCCAAAGAGUAAAGGUGUUUGGCUGG
rnacentral:lncRNA from 1 species